rnacentral:rRNA from 1 species
GAUGAACGCUGGCGGCGUGCCUAAUACAUGCAAGUCGAGCGAACAGACGAGGAGCUUGCUCCUCUGACGUUAGCGGCGGACGGGUGAGUACACGGGGAAAAACCUCCUUUUAGAACGGGGAAAACUUGGGGAAACGGAGCUUAAACCGGGUAAAAUUUUUAACCCGCAGGGUUCAUUAGUGAAGGCCGGUUUUGCGGUCACUAUAGGUGGAAUCCCGGCGGAUUUGGCUAUUUGGUAAGGUAACGGCUUACCAGGCAAAGGAUCGUAGGCCAACCUGGAAGGGGAAUCGGCCAAACUGAAAUUGAGCCACGGCCAAGCUCCUUCCGGAGGCAGCAGUAGGGAAUCUUCCGCAAUGGGCGAAAGCCUGACGGAGCAACGCCGCGUGAGUGAUGAAGGUCUUCGGAUCGUAAAACUCUGUUAUUAGGGAAGAACAAAUGUGUAAGUAACUAUGCACGUCUUGACGGUACCUAAUCAGAAAGCCACGGCUAACUACGUG